AGGAAUCGUCUCUCCCGAUUUGCAGAAGUGACUAUUUAAAGUCACAAAGUGUGAUGGCAUCUGGAUGUUUUUCUUCUUUCCUCUUCUGGUCUUCUCAGCACGGUCUUCAUCAGUAGGCUGAUAACCUAGCCCGAAAGUCCCUUCAUUCACCGGACAUUCCCAGGCUUGCAAUGCGGGGUAUGUCUUUCCGGACCUUGCC
rnacentral:lncRNA from 1 species